GAAAGGUUAGUUUAACCUACCUUCAUUAACAGGUUGCCAGGGUUUUUUUUGGUGGGGUUGGGGAGAGUUGUUAUAAACAAAGAAGGGAACAUAUUUGUACAUCACCAUUGCACUCACGAUAAAGUCCUGCAAGAGCGACUAUUGAAAUCAGGAAAGCACGAGCAGACACUGGCGGUUUGGUUCGGUCCCGAGGGCUGCAGACAGGCCCUGUCUGGGUGAAGCCUGGAGUGCCGCAACCCC
rnacentral:lncRNA from 1 species